GUCAUUUCUUUAAUAUAGAAUUUUAUUUCUGGUUAUAGAAACAAAUGCUAAGAGGAGAAACAAAACUUCCCCAUCCACAUACAACAAUUUAAUAGAUAAAAGAACAGUUAAAAUAAAUGAAAAACAAAAAGUAGAAAUUUUAAACUUUGUUAUAGCUUUAAAACAUUAACGUCUGAUACAAUUAGAAAUCACAUUCAGAUCUCAAACUCUUAAAAAAAAGUAUGGCUCCUUAUUAAAAAAAUACUGUAUCCCACUUGAAAUGAAAACACAGGUUGCCUGCUGUUGACAUGGGUGGGGCUGUCCCUUCCUCUGGUGUCGUGCGUGCCCCCUCCCGGUGCUGGGGUGCAGCCACACCCCCCCGCCGGGCGCCCACCUUCACUCCUCCAGGGUGAGACACGCAAGGUGACAUGACCAGAACUUCACAUCCAAUGCUCUAGAACUGACAUUUCCACUUCAUAGGACACUGCUGCUUUUUAAAGCACUGAUUAUCAAACAUGUUGUGAAAAAUACUUUAGACAGGCGCCACUGUAAAAAAAAAAAUACACACACACACACACACACACACACACACACACACACCGAACAACACCCGCCCCUCCCAAAUUAUUUUUACAGGAGAAUAAUCGUUCAGAUUAAAACAACAAGAACAAAAACUCAAUAUUGGCUUUAACCCCUCCUGCACGUGUGCUGAGCUGCCGGCCUUUGUCAUCUGCAGGGCACGUGCAGCCCAAGUGUCUGGACUCAGCGACAUCUCAGGACAGACUCUGGAACACGGCUGUUGUCUCUCCUCCCGCCCCCCUUUUCCUGAAACAGAAAUCAAGCCACAUACAUGAAGGUAUUCUAGGUAUCCAAAAAGCCUUUCUUGAAAAAAAGAAGAGCCAAACUUAAAAUACUUGAUUUGAUUAUUAUUUUUGAGACAGAGUGACUUGGAGACCGCUUCAGUCACCUUUGGCAGCCUCUGGUGGCCUGAAAUCUGGACGAUGGAACUUAAGACGCAACUGGGUCACUGGGGCCUGAAGCGGGAUGGGGGCGGGGGGCCCUCCGCAGCCAGUGUUCAGCAGCUUCACCAAAGCAAAUAAAUACAUUCACGGCUUCUCCCUGGCCCCGGUAUUUUUCUUUUCAACGCAUUUUCCCCAUGGCGAGAAUGACAGGGCAGGUGCAAAGAGUGACUAAGAUUCUUCCGAGGGGUUUCUCCCUGGACAGAAAGAAAGAUGCCUAAAAAUAAACUGACUGCCCUCUUAGUGAUAUUCUCUGAUACUCCGGGCAGCCAAAACCAGCCAUUAGGAUGAGUAGAAGAAACAAAAAAUUUCCAAAGCCUCACCAAUUCAGAGGAGGAACGCUCACUUCAGCCCUGCACAAAAAUACAAGGAAAAUGCCAGUCUUGGUGACCCACAGAGCUUCCAGGUCACACUCAGGCCUCCCGGGAAUGGCUGGCCCCGAGGGAAGGCCUCCACUCACUGACCCUCAGGGUUUCAUUCUCCAAGGACUGGGCUGUUUCUCAGGGCAGGAGUCUGACCUCCCAGCAGCUGGCACAGACUUGGAUGUGACAGACAGGCACGGCGAGGUUCAUCAGUCAGAGACGAAUCCUCCUCACCACUCUCCCCGCUCCUCUCUCUCUCGUGGCCUUCUGAUUUGCCCGGAGAGCCUUCUCACCCACCUCCAGGAAAAGCCAGCCCAACUUCACACACCCAGGUAGCACCCCUGCUCAUGGUGCAUGGCAGGCCUAGCCCUGGGCCCUCCACCCUGCCCACCUUCCCGGAGGGGGUUGAAAUGUUCCAUCCAGCAGCAGAGCUGAGGGCUGCAGCCUCUGCCUGAGGAGGAGCUGGGACGGGGCCGGAAAAGCCCAGCAGAGACAGGGUCCCAUGCCCGUGGGCUCACAAGACAACCCAAGACUGAAACUAUUUUCCCUAAAGAAGUCAGUGAAAUGGGUCUGUUUUUAAAAUUUCAGUCCAGAGGGAAAUGUGUGUGGUUGUAUCCCCAAAAUCCCAUUCUUCUAAGCAGCUGUGACUUCGGGGUUUGGGUGACAGGGAGGACAGAGGAAAGGACGCAGCAGCUCUAAUGGGACAAUCCUUUCCACAGAUUCAACUCCGACAGAAUUCAAGCCGCACGGUGUGGGUAAGGGCCCCCUUCUCGAGGCACGGACCCCACUCGCCACCCUGCGAGGGGCCGCGGUACCCACCGAGAUCCCCUGCAAAGCACAGAUUCCAAACCCUCCCUCUGGUCACCAAACGUAGCAGCUUUUCGUAUCAAAACCCAACCAAAAAAACAGUAAGUAUGUGAUGAAAACCGUGUCCUGAGCACUGAAAAACAGGCCUGGAGAAAGGAACUUUGAAAAGAAAAGGAAAUUGUAAGAUGCAGGAAAACAAUCUAAAAAUAAGGGACAGAACCGGGCGAGAGACCAUUUGUUA
rnacentral:lncRNA from 1 species